UGGCUUUUGGCAGUUGAUAUAAUAAAAGUGAAACGAUACAAAGAAUAAUGAAGAUUAACAUGACCCUUGCGUAAGGAUGACAAACAAAAUCGUUAAAAACCACUAUAGUCGU